CAUCUUCCUGUUGCUUAUUCUAUGAGGAGGGGUGAGAAAAUAAGGCUCCCUUGGUCUGCCAUGUCAGAGAUCAGCCUGUUGCUUUUUCUACUGCUCAGACUUGCACAUCCAUAAUCCAUUCUUGUGUCUGCCAACAUCUUAUUUCCCUGAGCCCUGCAUCAUUGGCCAGCCACCCGCAAAUUGCUCCUCUCCACUGGUGGCCUGGGAUGUGUGGUGAACACCAGGCCAGCCAGGCUCCUGAUGCAGAGAGCUUACAGCUUUGCAUUCCUCCUCCUUGGUGAAUUAGCCUGAGCUGCCUGCCUCCAGCUGGAUUUAGAAGCUUGACUAACCCUGUCAGGGGCCAGUUUUCUUUGAACAUUUAUUUGUAUCUUUGAGUAAUUGCAUUUUCUGUAGCGGGUUUUCUGACUUAAUUUAAUUGUAUUUCUGUUUCUGCCUGUUGGGCUGGCUCUUGCAGGCAGGAGUUAGGAUCUCAGCUGCUGUGGUGCCCUUCUACCUGCUAAUUUUGCUCAAGCCUUCGUCAACAGAUCCAUCUUCUUUCCAGGAGUAUGCCAGCCAUUUGUCCUGCUAGGUGGGCACAAGAAAGGAACAGUGGGAGCUUUGUUUCACUCAGCCUUAGGAUUUUUGGAUCUGCCUUUGUUCCCAUUCCUUUUACAAUCAUAUCUAUAGGGUCCCUCCAGCUUUCAUAAUACUCACAGAGGUACAAGAUUAGAGGGUCCCAGAGGCUGUCUCUCUAAUGAAUCUUCAUAGAUCUUUGACAGCAGAUGCCUGUAUUUCCUUGGGAUGCUCAGUGAUAAAAAUACCUAUUGAUAAGCUUCAGCCUCUCAAGCUGAUCUGAAUUGCUAAGAAAUAUAUCAGGCGUGAGAGAACAGGAGAACACUUGACAGUCUGAGAUGCUUAUGUUGGACUAUCCUGUCCUUGAGAGAAGUAUUACUGCUAUUGGUUGCCACCUCUUUUGUAUUUCUUUAGUGCUUGCCUUCUCAUUUUGUAAAAGAAAGUGGGGUGGCCAGACAAAUCCUGAAUUCUCAGUUCCAUUUCCCAAACUUCAGCUACAACAAUCUGGGCAUCACAUCUGCUUUGCUGGCUAUCCGCACAAUGGUUGGAGGACUGGGGGGCUUAACAGUAUCAUCAGAUUCACAUUGCCCUCUAUUUUAUUUUUUACAAAGAUAUUUUUGUUAAGAUGCUUACGAAGAUGUUUGUGAAGUAAAAAUCCUUAUAUUGACAUGGAAGGUGCUUCCCCACCUCCCAUUCUGUAGUUACACAAUGCCGCCUGAAUUGUUAUCAAUGAAAAAUAACCCGCGCAAGAGAAGUAUUUAGAGAAUCCGAACACUCCAGUUGUCUAUAAGUGCCUGUUGUAAUUUUUGAAGUGGCCCAGGGAUUAAGUGGAUGGGGCAGAUAUUGUAGAAUUUCCUUCUAAUUUUGCGGGCCUUUGGAUAAUGAACUGCAAAGUAACUGUUGAUAAAAGCAGGUGAGUCUAUCCAAAUUCAUAACUUGAAGACAUUGACAAGGAUGCAGCAAAAGAUUUUUGUUUGUUGUGCUUUGGAUGGAGGAAGGAAAUCCCUUCAUUGGAUCGCCCAAGACAUUUGUUGGUGGCAUUCUCAUUUACUAAGUCGCAUUUCUCACCAUUGUUGUCUUCCAGUUGUGUCACAUCUCCUAAAGUUUCUUUCCCUUUUUUUUUUUCAACUGUUGUAUUCCCAGCCACCUUUCUUCUUGAUCAUAUUUCUGGUCUAUCAUGAGAUCCAAAAGUACCGGGGUCAAAGAGAAUACUGACCACUAAAAGGAGUGCGUGGCCCCAAGCUCUUUUACUCUCCCAUAGUUAUUGUGAGCUUGCCUUUGUCUUAUAUUUGCUAAUACUUGACUGUUGAAAAGGAUAAAAAUUUUCCCCAGUUUCUUUGGGGAAACUCUUCGGUGCUUUUGGCGUGUAAUUGGGUUUGCAGAUCCUUUCUCUAACCCAGAGUUGAUCUUUCUUGAUUAUAAUGGCCCAAUCUUUCAUAUCCCCACGUUGAGGGUCUCAGUAAGAACCUUUCUUCGUUUUCUUAGAUGCUUAUAUGAUCACUUGGGCUGGCUGUUUUGAAAGUUCUCUUUUUUACUGAGAAAAUGUGAGUAAGAACUAAACUGAAAAAUUUAAAAUUCUGACAAAGUUCCAGUCAUUGCCUACUGUCCUGAACAUUUCCCUUUUAUUAUGUAUGAAACUGUUUUCUGAACAGCAUAGGAAUGGAGAGACUGGCGUUUCGUUCUAGGCUUAUUCAUUUACUCUUACCUAGGGAGUGCCUCCAUUUUUAUUUCGUAAGUUGUCUCGAGGAGUGCUUCUCUUUGUUCUACCCUCCUCACCCCACAAAGAUCUAGCAGAGCAGGAAAGUUCCAGUCCAUUGGUACUCCUGGAUGCGGAGGUCCUUCCUGCCCUCAGCAGAAGUCCUGAGCAAGGCAUGGAUGCCUGAGUGUGGACCCACAACCUCCCACCUCAUGCAACUCUUACCUUCCAGGCAGCCUCUGUCGUGCCCACAGUGCAUAACAGUGCAAAAACUCUCCUGGGGUGGAGCCACUGAUGGGAUGCCACAGUUGAACUGGUUUUUUGCACCUUCUGCCUGUUGCCUUGAUCAUGAGUUUUAGCUCGGGUAACCAGGUAUUUUUUUUUUUUUUUUUUUUUUAGGUAGAGUCUCGCUCUGUUGCAGGCGGGAGUACAGUGGUGCGCUCUCAGCUCAUGUAAUGUCCGCCCCCCAGGUUCAAGCAAUUCUCCUGCCUCAGCCUCCUGAGUAGCUAGGACUACAGGCACGCACCACCAUGCCCAGCUAAUUUUUGUAUUUUUAGUAGAGACAGGGUUUCACCAUGUUGGCCAGGAUGGUCUCGAUCUCCUUACCUAGUGAUCCGCCCACCUUGGCCUUCCAAAAGUUCUGGGAUUACAGGCGUGAGCCACCACGCCUGGCCAUAACCAGGUAUUUUGAAGACGUGAUUGUCCUUGGCCCUGCCCUAUCCCUUCCCUUUAAAGUUUUAAAUUUUUGUUCGUAUCAUUUCUUUGGUCAGAAUUUCUCUAUCUCCUGCAUGCUUUCCCUGGUUACCUUAAAUCUGCAUUAUCCUAGGAAAGAGGAAGCCCACAGAUUUUAGGAUUUCAAAGUACUUCUUGGGCCCCUUCAUGUGAUCCCGCAGAGGCUAGGUCAUCAAGUUGGAUGUCCCUAUGUGAAACCAUAAACUGACCGGAGGAAGAUACAGAGAGGAGAGGGGCUGUGUAACGGUGACUGCCCUUAGGCCAGCUUUCUACCAGGGAGAGGACAGGAUGCUGGCAUGCAGGGUGCCUGGCACUGAUAAAAUGAUGCCAUAUUUAUAAGUGCAUCGCCCUGGCUUUGGGUGGGCCAUGCAGGAAUUCCUGCCUGAAUUAUAGUCUUUCCGUCUCAUAUCUUCAUGUGGAGCUCUCAAGCUUUAGACAAGUCUUUUAUCUCCAUUUCCAGGCGACUCCCAUUAUCUGAGGCCUCGCAUUGCUGCUUUCCUUAAAUUUGUUUUACAGUGACACUAGUCAGCACAAAGCUACUGACAUUUCUGGCCACCCCUCAGCUCCUUUUUGUGACUUCUCUCCUGCCCCCUUACAUUGCAUUUCUCCUUUUUUGGAGUGCAAUGGCGCGAUCUCGGCUCACCGCAACCUCCGCCUCCUGGGUUCAGGCAAUUCUCCUGCCUCAGCCUCCUGAGUAGCUGGGAUUACAGGCACGCGCCACCAUGCCCAGCUAAUUUUUUGUAUUUUUAGUAGAGACGGGGUUUCAUGUUGCUCCUCCUUAGCCAUUGGUUUCUGUUGGCUUUUACUCUUUUACCUGAGUUGGAAAUCUGGGAAGACGAUUCCAGCUCAGUGGUCUGGCCAUUCUGGUGGUGCUGCCAGGCCCAGGACAAGAAGAACAGUAAGUGAGACACUGUGCUAUUACCUGGUUUUCUGACCUUGAUGCCCAAAGCAGCCAAGGAGCUCUCAAAUGGCGAUCACAUUUUACUCUCUCUCUCUCUCUCUCACACACACACACACACACACACACACACACACACACACACACAGAGUAAACUCAGCAUUUCUUUCUAGCCUAGCUCCGCUGGUAUUUAGCACGAGUGGGCAAAUCUGUGCCACUGCCAGUUUUUACAAUAAAAUUUUAUUGAAACACGACCAUGCUAAUUCUUUCAUGUAUUAUCUAUAGCUGCUUUCACACUGUAACAGCCGAGUUGUGUAGUUAUGACAGAGUAUAUGGCUUGCAAAGCCUAAAAUAUUUACUAUCAGUCCCUUUACCGAAAAAGUUGCUGACCACUGCUGUAUAUAGUAUGCUGAAUUGGGUUUAAAUGGCUUGUAAUAGCCCUGAAAAUGUAAGUUGGCUGUCCUGUCCCCUGCCAUUGAGGCUGGACUGCAUGACAUUUUAUCUGUUGGCUUUAGCUGUGACUAUGAGCUGAGUGCCAUGUCCCAUUGGAUAGCAUGUGCUUGGUGACCCAUGCCCCACAUACAUCUGACUCUUUAAGGCAGUUCCCUGGCACAGUCAAGGACAAGAUCUGGUGUGAUUUCCCAGAUGGAGAGCUGUGCCCAUUACUAGCAUCCCCCAGAUGAGAGAGACCAUUAGCUAAUGGGUAGAUAACUGGCUUGAAAGUGUAAACUCCUAGGUUUUCGCACUCUAGUUUUUAUGUGGUCCUGGAUAUGUGAUUCUUUUCUGCCUUGGUGUUCCUGUCUAAAACACUGACGUAGCAAUCCCAAGCCAUCCUUUCCUUUUUGCGGCCCUUGUUCUGAAUAAAACAGUGAUUUCAGAUAUCUUCUCACUUUCUUUCAGAAGGCAGCUAGCCAGCACAUACUCACUGACCAGUUGCUGCCUGCACAGCAGAGUUUUCACUGCUGUGUUGGAGAAACCCGAACUCUUAGAGAAAGGGCCCUAAGGUAUUAUUUAAAGAGAGCCAUGUCACAGUUUAACUCUCUUCACAGUUCCAGGCUGUAGGAGGUACAGUUUCUGAGGACAGGGGCAAUGUAUGUGGGUUUGGUGAUCAUUUCUAAGGCCUUUUUCGAUGACCCCUUUGUCUUCUCUGAGACAUAAGAAUUGCUCUUUGCUGCUACCUGAAAAAUGAUGUCCUCAUGCUGGACAGCCCCAGUUGAAAACUCAGCCUGCUGCCUUGACCUAUUUCCCUUCUCCCUGCUGGCAUUAAAAGGGAGGAUGUCCCCCUGGGGAGCUCAUUCUGCAGGCCGCAGUGGCCAGGGCACAGUCCUGGGUUUCCUCUUUCUCCCUUACUCCCUGCUUUAAAAAAAAAAAAAAAAAAAAAAAAAAGAUACAGAAAAACAUUACAGGUAACUGUUGCUGUUGGAAAAAAAUAUAUUUAUGUUUCAGGGGAAUGUGGCCUCAGCCAUGAAUAUUGGUGUAUAUUUAUGAAGGGGUGUGUGUCUGAGAAAGAAAACUUAGAAUAAAAGAAAAAGUGAUUUCAUUUCCUUCAUCAUAGCUCCAAGUGUGCUGUAUCCUGUCUGAAAUAGAUAAACUGCUCUAAGCAGUUUCAAGUUUAUCUCAAUCUCUGUCCUUCCUGUGCCCUCGGUCUUUUCCCUACGUCACCCCACAAACGCUGUGGUAUGUUCUCUCUUAGUCCUUCCCAUUCCAUCUGCCUGCGCAGGCUCCUUCCCUGUCGAGGAGAGGAGACUCACAAGAGAGGAAACACUAGCAAAAUAUAUCUCUGAAUCAAAGGGAUGAGGACAGUUCAAGCCACAGGGAAUUCCAAGAAAGUAAAGGACACCCGGUGAGGGUGAAUCCAGUGCAACCUACGCUCCUGACUCUCCCUGAUUGUCAUGUCCCUUGGGAACCCUUGGUGAGCCACUAAUAACUACCUGCUAGAAAAACCAAGCAGGCUCUCUGGCGAUAUUUCAUUUAUUUUCACAAAGCCCCUUAUUCUAGAUUAUCUCAGCCACUGCCCAGGAAAAAGGUAACAUGUUAUGGUCAGCUUUCUAAAUAGCUCUCUCAUUCUACAAGCUUUUAAAGGCUGUUUGGAGGCUAAGGCCUUUCUCACCUCCUGACACAUGCUUGACAGUUCAUCACCCACCUGUGGUCUUUAAUUUCAAGCAGUUUGUUCUUAAAGGCCAUCUUCUUUGAACAGGGCUCAGGUAAGAAAAAUUCCUGUCUUAAUAGUGAUCAAACUUUAAUUUUAUAUAGCACUUUCUGGGUUUAAAGGUGUUUUCAUGCAUGAUAUUUGAUUUUAAUAUAAUAGCAAACCAAUAAGCAAAAUAUUAACCCUGUUUUACCAUUCUCAAAACCAAAAUGCACAGCAACAGAGCUAGUGGUAAGACAUAUACUAAAAUUCAAAUAUCUGCAUUCCAAAUCAAAUGCUUUUUCUCCUUAAAUCUUACCAGUUUUGCUUUUAGAAGGCAAUAGUUUUAGUCAUAUUUAACCAUUUUUCAACUAUAGAAUAUCUGGAACUUGUUAAAGGAAUAGCAGAGGACUUCCCUGAAGGUCCCACACUGACUAAGAGUCAGUCUUCUAUAAGGCAUGGAUUCUGAUCCUGCAAGACUACAGAGGAAUUUGGAGGAUUUGCUGUGACCACGCCUUCCUUAAAUAUUUACUCUGCUCCUGCCACAGCUUCUGUGUCUAUGGAUUGUCUGCUGCCUGCUUCAUCUGCUGUCUGAUUUUUGUGGGCCUUGCUUUUCCCAUUUUCUCUCUGUGUCUAUAUUCCUAUAUCUAAUCUCUCUUAAAAGAUGAAUCUGACUGUAUAGUUUCCUUUCUUAAAAAAUAUAACUCCCCAUUGCCUCUGGGAUAAAGUCUCAUCUCAGUUUACAUAUGUUCUUGAUUCCCUCUCCAACUUUGUGUCUCACCACUCCCACUCACUUCAUACUUCGUGCCUUAUCAGAAUGGACCUGUUAUGCUGUCAGUUCGUCAUAUAUACCAUUACAUUGUGUCUCUCCCAUCUCUAGGUAGACUUAUGCUCUCCGCCCAGCACAUCAGUCGUCCCUCUUGCUUGCUUUCCUGUUCACUCCUAUUCUAGAAGGUGCAUCACCUUUUCUUGGAAGCCUUCCCUUAGUCUCCCAGGCUGAGAUAUCCUUGCUAUCCCAGGGUGAGAUAUCCUUCCAUCCGUUCCCACAGCACCCUGUGCAUACAUCUGUUGUGCACUUACCAAUAGUGUAGAAGGGAUCUAUGACCCAAGUCUCUCACCAUUAGCUUGCAAGCUCCUCACAGACAGGAGCCAUGUUUUGUCUUUGUACUCCAGUGCCUAGUAUAUACGAGAUACUCAAUAACUAAAUAUUUGUCAUAUCAAAUUGAUUCCCUGUGACCUAAUUCUAGAGAAUGGGAAGAAGGCCUGUUCUUUUGUCCUUUAUGGUUCUUUAGGAAAGCUCUCCAAGCUCGGCAUUUGUCAGGGUGGGAAGAAAACUUUUUUGAAGUAUUGAAGCUGGACACAUGGCUGCUAAUUCAUCAGCUUCUCAUUGAGAAAGUCUAUAGGCAAAAUCUGACUGUGCACUUACUACAAGACCAUGACCUGCCUGGGUCUCCCCGUCUUUCCAGCCAGUAUAUUUAAAGGGUCUCACACAUUAGACAAUAUUACGUUCAAUGGAAAACCACAGGUUUGGAGGUAAUGCCAGCAAGUCUUAACCUACGCAAGAUGCCUUUUCUAGACUUGGCUAUGGACUGAUAAGGCCGUCACCAAGGGAGAGGAGACACCAGGACUCCACGGAUACCUUAUGGAUGUCUAAGGAAUAAUGGUUUGAGCAUCUUAGCCAUGUACUCUACUUGCCAUGCCGUAUUUGGAGACUUAUCUGCCAACAGUGACGGCUCUCUGCUUUGUCUCUGUCGAUACAGGUCUUCUUUCACAUUGACACUGCAAUUUGAAAAUGAGGGAUACAGGGAUACCUAUCUAGAUCCUGGCUGGUGCAGGCUUCUUUAUCCUCUGACAGAACAGCAGUGCUCCUUUGUGUCUCCAUACUUUGCUACCGUGAACACAACAAUCCAGGAUUGCCAUAGAUUUGUCCUUGACCUGCAUUAAGUUGAAGAGUUGGAAGACAGGUAACACAGGCUGGGCACAGUUGCCCGCGCCUUUAAUUUCAGCACUUUGGAGGCUGAGGCAGGGGGAUCACUUGAGCCCAGGAUUUCAAGACCAGCCUAGCCAACAUGGCAAAACCCUGUCUCUACUGGAAAAAAAAAAAAAGUUAGCCAGAUGUGGUGGCACAUGCCUAUAUCCCAGCUACCCAGGAGGCUGAGGCAUGAGAGUCGCUUGAACCCAGGUGGCGGAGGUUGCAAUGAGCUGAGAUUGUGCCAUUGCACUUCAGCCUGGGCAACAGAUCCAAGACUCUCUCAAAAAAAAAAAAAAAAAAAAAAAGAGAGAGAGAGAGAGA